GACGAACGCUGGCGGCGUGCCUAAUACAUGCAAGUAGGACGCAGUUGCGAACGGGGGAGUAACGCGUAGGUAACUACCUAUUAGAGGGGGAUAACUAUUGGAAACGAUAGCUAAUACCGCAUACUAGUAGAUGGACUUGCGUUGUAUUAGCUAGUAGGGAGGUUAAUGGCCUACCUAGGCAACGAUACAUAGCCGACCUGAGAGGGUGAUCGGCAACGUUGGGCGUGUGAUGCGGCCCAUCCUCCGAAGGGAGGCAUCAGUAGGGAAUCUUCGGCAGUUGGGAGUACCCUGACCGGGCCACGCCGCGAGAGUGAGGAAGGUCUUCGGAUCGUAAAACUCUGUUAUUAGGGAAGCGGUACCUAAUCAGAAAGCCACGGCUAACUACGUGCCAGCCGCCGCGGUAAUUC
rnacentral:rRNA from 1 species